AUUGAACGCUGGCGGCAGGCCUAACACAUGCAAGUCGAGCGGUAGCACAGAGAGCUUGCUCUCGGGUGACGAGCAGCGGACGGGUGAGUAAUGUCUGGGAAACUGCCUGAUGGAGGGGGAUAACUACUGGAAACGGUAGCUAAUACCGCAUAACGUCGCAAGACCAAAGUGGGGGACCUUCGGGCCUCAUGCCAUCAGAUGUGCCCAGAUGGGAUUAGCGAGUAGGUGGGGUAACGGCUCACCUAGGCGACGAUCCCUAGCUGGUCUGAGAGGAUGACCAGCCACACUGGAACUGAGACACGGUCCAGACUCCUACGGGAGGCAGCAGUGGGGAAUAUUGCACAAUGGGCGCAAGCCUGAUGCAGCCAUGCCGCGUGUGUGAAGAAGGCCUUCGGGUUGUAAAGCACUUUCAGCGGGGAGGAAGGCGGUGAGGUUAAUAACCUCACCGAUUGACGUUACCCGCAGAAGAAGCACCGGCUAACUCCGUGCCAGCCGCCGCCGUAA
rnacentral:rRNA from 1 species